rnacentral:rRNA from 1 species
AUUGAACGCUGGCGGCAGGCCUAACACAUGCAAGUCGAACGAGUGGCGGACGGGUGAGUAAUGUCUGGGAAACUGCCUGAUGGAGGGGGAUAACUACUGGAAACUGUAGCUAAUACCGCAUACCAUAGGAUGAGCCCAAGUGGGAUUAGGUAGUUGGUGGGGUAAAGGCUCACCAAGGCGACGAUCCCUAGCUGGUCUGAGAGGAUGACCGGCCACACUGGGACUGAGACACGGCCCAGACUCCUACGGGAGGCAGCAGUGGGGAAUAUUGCGCAAUGGGGGCAACCCUGACGCAGCCAUGCCGCGUGAGUGAAGAAGGCCUUCGGGUUGUAAAGUUCUUUCGGUAGGGAGGCGUUAACUACAGAAGAAGCACCGGCUAACUCCGUGCCAGCAGCCGCGGUAAUAC